rnacentral:tRNA from 1 species
AAGUUUAGGUUAACUAAACCAAGACCUUCAAAGCCUUAAACAGGGGCCUACCCCCU